GGGAGGAGAAACAGAGGAAUGGGGUGUUCUUUCCCGGGGCAAAGCAGCCCUGUGCGCACCGGGACACCACCACUACACAAAGGUCUUUGGAAAAGAAGCAACAGCUGUUCCCAGGGACAAGCAGACUCUUAUGCACAAGCCUCCAGAACUGUGAGAGGACACAGUCCUUCUCCUGUAGGCCAGCAGAUUUCUGCUCAUGAGUCAUGGCAAUCAUAUGACUUUGGAUAAGAGAAGAAGAUAGACUAUCUGAAGAAAAUAUUGAUUCUGCCCAUGAGUAUUCCUCUGAUGCACCUGCAGGUCCUCUGACAAUGCAGUGCUCUCUGCACCAUCUGCUGGCUCCUCAAAGGAAGGGGAAAUAAGAACAGUCAUUAACAAAAGCUCAAGACAAAACACUGUGCAGAACGCUGAAUGCUGGGUCAGAGAUCAAAAAGAAGAUAAAAGUAGAUCUUGCUGACCUUACAGGACUGUUUUGAAGACCUUUCGUGAGUGUGUUUACGAAGGAGCUUUGUGAACUGUUCAGUGCUAUUCAAGCAGAAUGGAUCGUGCUUCUUGUAUAACCUUGACUUUUCUCCCUACUUCCCUGCUGCACUGUUUCUGGAACAAAUGCAUACGUUGUCCUGUCCGCCCCCCACUUCCACCCCCACUGUGUUAUGGGCAUCCUCCUCGGAUUACAAAACUGGUUUCUCAAUCUAAUCGGCACAGGAUGUUUCCUUCCACGCCCACAAGCUUAGAUAACAGCGAUUUGAGGAUUUGUAAUUCAUCCUUCAUUGAUCAAUGUUCUUGAGUGUUCUGCACUUGCCUGAACCCUGUCCUAUUCAGGUGUAGAGCCAGAGGCUUUGAUACAAUGGACAGCUUCAGGACUCUCUCCUGACAGGGCAGCCUUCUCAACCUUGUCUUUCUAAGAGGGUUCUUCAAUCUUAGUGGGUCAUUCACCCCUCCGAGAUUCUUGUGAAAGCAAAGUCCUCUCUCAUAAGAAAGAAAUGAAGAUAAAAACAUAUGAGACUAUGUCCAUGCACACGUCCACAUAGACCUUCUUGUACAUACCCACCACGUACACCUUCUUCCGGUCCCAUUUUGCAGGUGAUCACAGUCCUUCAAAAUCGAUGGCUGAAACUCCAGGGUCUCCGAAUCAGCUAGAUUUAGCUUUCAAUACUAGUCGUAGGCAAAAUAACUAACAAUGACUCUGGUACACAAUAAUUGCUCAAUAACUAAGAAGUGUCCUUAUCCCUAAAGCAACAUCAUCUUCACAAACAUCACACAGUUUCAGAAAAUUUUCAAGAAAAAGGCCACCCAGUCCAACACAGUUUCUUCAGGGAAGAGGCUGGCGUCGGCUGCGGUGCAGCUGGUGUUGGCUCUCCCUCUACUGGCCGUAGGGCACAUUCACCCAUCCUUCUGAUUCCAGUAAGUGUUGGGCUAGGUCUGAGGCACAAGAAAAUGGGGUCAAAAGUGGGAGACAGGGAGCAAAGGAGAACAUGGUUUAGUUCUGAGCAGUGCACAUCCUGAGAAAGCUAAGGAUUGAGAAUUGUGUUGGUCCCUUUGUUUUGUACCCUUUUUUUUUUUUAUUGUGCUCCAGCUACCGAAUGUGCUGACCCAGUUCCUUCUGAACGUGCAUCUGUUCUGGAAGAGACAUCUUGACAACAAUAUGCCUAAGAGUCAGCCUCGUGCAAACCCUGGAUCUCACCAUAAGGUUUGCCUUAUUCUUGACUGGGACUUAGAGUAGAAUGCAAGCAGCACAGGUAUAAACUGCAUAGAGUAAUGGCUAGUGCCGCCCUUCCUAGCAGAGGAAUUAUUUCAUGGCAGCCUGAGCUCUCUGAGCCUCAGUUUCCUCCUCUAUUAAAUAGAGCUCAUACAGGUCCUCACCUGCUAACACUGUUAUAAGGAUUAAGUAACUCAUUGGGUGCUGAGUGGAAGGUGCAGUAACAAGAAAACUUAGUAGUCACUAGGUAUUAGCAAUGGUAUAUUCAUUCUAACAUAGAAAUGGUAUAUUACAAGCCUUUGUUAUAUUUAAAACUCCACAUCAAUACUUGCUUGUUGCAUGAAAUUGAACCACUUAAAAUUAUUCAUAUUUGGUUAGUUUGGACCUGACAGAGACAGCAGCUUUUCAAACAAUUUAAUGUACUAGAAUAAUUAGAAACCAGCCAUGACCCACAGGACUACCCCCCAGAGUCACACGUUCAGGCACACUCUCUUGACAUCUUGGAAACAUGUAAAUAGCUGAUGCUAAUGUGAAGUCAGAAUGCAAUCGUGAUCAGAUCAGGUGUCUUAAAAACAUAGUCUGACUCCCAGGUAGUGAAGGAAGGUCCAAGUGUUCUGCAGUGAAUGUCAGGACGGCAGGGACAAUUUACAGAGACGGCGGGUGAUGCUAGCAUUCUGCUUGAGGGACACCCAGGGAGUUCUGUUUCUAUGGGAGCUUCCCGACACUAGUGGCCUGUCCCUGCACCCAUCCCUCCCUCGGGGCAGACUGCUGCUUCAGCAGAUGCACUUGGCUCUGAUAGGAAGGGAUUCAAUCCUGACAGGCAAUUUCAUCGGCCCCUUAAGAUGAGAUGAGUCGUUGCUUUGACUUUGUAAUUUCCCAACCACUUUGAGUAAUCAGGGUUUCUGCUAGCGCACAAUUACUUAUUAAAGUUUGGUGGAGUUCGGCCUACCAUCUCUCUUUGUUGUCUCAAGCUUUUUGCCAACAUAAAUAACUCUCUGCUAUUUUUAGAAUGAAGAAGUAGCUAUCAAGCUGUGCACAGCCUGGCAGGGCUUAGCAAUGCAGCGUGAGAGCUUUCUCAGUGUUCAGCGCUACUCCCCCCAUAAAGCGGGUAGAAUGGCCAGGGCUCGGAAGGAUCUGCUCUUUCAGUCUUCUGGCCCUGGGCUGAUAAAACUCUUACUAACAGAGAUACAAUGUAACAAUUGUGCUGUAAUUCUCUAUAGAGACCCUGUCCCCAGCACUACAAGUUAAAGAAUUCGUGAUUGGCUAUGCAAAGAACACUAAGUUAGGACACAACAAUCUUGGGCUCUCUGAUCUGACUUCGCUACUCACUGCCUCUGGACCUGAGGAAUUACCCAUCCUUUUGAUCUGUCAUUCCCCAAAAGAAAAAUUAAUGAAAUUGAGUCCAGUGGUCUCUACGUUUCUUUCUAUGCUCUCCGUAUUCCUAAUGGAAAUCCCAGAUAGCAAUGGAAACCAACAACCAUUCUCUUUUUUGUUUUUAGUACAAUAUUCAGUUAAUUACAUGAGAUACUAACACUUCAUUAUAAAAUAUUGGAUUAGAUGGCUUUGCCCAAUGGUAGGCUUAUGUGAGCGUUCUGAGCAUACUGCAGGCAGGUGAGACUACAAUACAAUGUUCCGACAAUGGAUUUAAUGGAAAACUGAACUGCUGGUUCACUGAGUCUACACUCUAGGAGGACAGAAGGAUCCAAGACUCCAAAAGUCCUGUGGAAAGUUAGAAAUUGUGGGAAUCUAUUUUGUUCAUUAAGAGCAAAGUUCAAAGACACAGAGGCAGUGGGAAAGAGAGGAGGAGAGGGAUAGAAAAAGAAAAGAAGAUGUGUUCGGUACUUGUA